rnacentral:RNase_P_RNA from 1 species
GCAAGGAGCCACUCCACCGCGGGGCCGCGAGGCCACGAGGAAAGUCCGGGCAACGCAGGGCGCCCUGCUACCUAACGGGUAGGCCUGGCCAAUUGGGCCAGGACAGCCAGUGCCACAGAAAAUAACCGCCGACUUUUCAUUUAACAGUUAGCAAUUAACAUUUAACAAUUCUUAAAUGACUGUUAAAUAUUAAUUGCUAACUGUUAAAUGAAAAAGGUAAGGGUGAAAAGGUGCGGUAAGAGCGCACCAGCGGCUGGGUGACCAUGCCGGCUGGGUAAACCUCAGGGGUUGCAAGACCAAAUAGGCCAACGCGCUUUCUCCUCGGGGAAAGCACCGGGCGGCCCGCUCGGGUUGGCGGGUAGGUUGCUGGAGCCUAGGGGUGACCCUAGGCCUAGAUAAAUGGUGGGGCCGCCGCCCGUGGAAACACGGAAGGGCGGACAGAACCCGGCUUAUCGGCUUCUUGCCUAA